rnacentral:misc_RNA from 1 species
GUCACGCCCGAAGUCAUUACCCCAACCGAAAGGGGGGGGAUGCCUAAGGUAGGACUGAUGACUGGGGUGAAGUCGUAACAAGGUAGCCGUACCGGAAGGUGUGGCUGGAUCACCUCCUUUUAGGGAGACCUAAUCCAUUUAGAAAUCGAAAACAAUGAAAAUUGUCAAUAGAAACUAAAGUGGUCUAACCUAGGUCGUUCGAGAUUGGUAGAUAUCUUUCAAAGUAUUAUUCGGCUUCGUUCAAAACCAUAUAUAAUAAAUGGAAAAAGACAGCACCUAAUUGUCAAAGUUAGACUGCUGGAUGAAAUUCCAGCCAGAACCUUGAAAACUGCAUAAGAGAACGAGAAAAAGCAGGCAGACACAGACAUUUAGAUGGAUGUGAAAGCAAAGAAAAAUUGUGGUCAAGCUAAUAAGGGCUAAUGGUGGAUACCUAGGCACACAGAGG